AACAUCGCGCACCUGCGGGAACCUGCGGAAGGAUCAUUAACGAAAGGAGCGUCUGGCCUUGCGCCCGACGCUCUCUAGGUCGCACGCGGACAAACUGGCUCUGCUUCAUCCAGAUUUUCCCGUGUCCUACAAACCACUGUGUGCACCGUAUAUAUGCAUUUGCGUAGCUUUCUAUUUGUCUGUCUGAUGUUUACAUUUUCUGACUUUGGCUUUGCGGCCAAAUGACUGAUAAUUAAAACA
rnacentral:misc_RNA from 1 species